UACGAACUGUGCGAACGUUUAUUCGGAAUCACUGGGCUUACAGGGUGCGUAGGCGGCUCAACAAGUCAGGUGUGAAAGCCCCCGGCUCAACUGGGGAGGGUCACGCGAUACUGAUCGACUCGAAGGCAGGAGAGGGUAGUGGAAUUCCCGGUGUAGUGGUGAAAUGCGUAGAUAUCGGGAGGAACACCAGUGGCGAAGGCGACUACCUGGCCUGUUCUUGACGCUGAGGCGCGAAAGCCAGGGGAGCAAACGGG
rnacentral:rRNA from 1 species